CCCCCAUUCCAGUCCCGUCCCAGUCCCAUUCCAGUCCCAUCCCACUGCAUCCCGACCCCCAUCCCAGCUCCAUUCUGGACCCAUCCCAUUGCAUCCCGGUCCCUAUCCCUGCUCCAUCCCAGUCCUGUCCCACUCCAUCCCGACCCCCAUCCCAGUCUCAUCCCACUGCAUCCUAACCCCCAUCCCAGUCCCAUCCCAGUCCCGUUCCAGUCCCCUCCCACUGCAUUCCGAUCCCUAUCCCAGUCCUAUCCCAGUCCCAUCCCAGUCCCAUCCCACUGCAUCCCGACCCCCAUCCCAGUCCCUUCCCAGUCCCGUCCCGCUGCAUCCCAACCCCCAUCCCAGUCCCGUCCCAGUCCCAUCCCACUGCAUCCCGACCCCCAUCCCAGUCCCUUCCCAGUCCCGUCCCGCUGCAUCCCAACCCCCAUCCCAGUCCCGUCCCAGUCCCAUCCCACUGCAUCCCGACCCCCAUCCCAGUCCCUUCCCAGUCCCGUCCCGCUGCAUCCCAACCCCCAUCCCAGUCCCGUCCCAGUCCCAUCCCACUGCAUCCCGACCCCCAUCCCAGUCCCUUCCCAGUCCCGUCCCGCUGCAUCCCAACCCCCAUCCCAGUCCCGUCCCACCACAUCCUGGACCCAAUCCCAGCUCCAUCCCAGACCCAUCCCACUGCAUCCCGAUCCCUAUCCCAGUCCCAUCCCAAUCCCAUCCCACUACAUCCCAAUCCCUAUCCCAGUCCUGUCCCACCACAUCCUGGACCCAAUCCCAGCUCCAUCCCAGACCCAUCCCACUGCAUCCCGAUCCCUAUCCCAGUCCCAUCCCACUCCAUCCCAACCCCCAUCCCAGUCCCGUCCCAGUCCCAUCCCAGUCCCAUCCCAGUCCCAUCCCACUGCAUCCCGACCCCCAUCCCAGUCCCGUCCCAGUACCAUUCUAGUNNNNNNNNNNNNNNNNNNCAUCCCGACCCCCAUCCCAGUCCCAUCCCAGUCCUGUCCCACAGCAUCCCUCACCCCACCCUGGACCCAUCCCAUGGCAUCCCUCACCCCAUCCCGACCCCCAUCCCAGUCCCAUCCCAGUCCCGUCCCAGUCCUGUCCCACUGCAUCCCGACCCCCAUCCCAGCUCCAUCCCAGUCCUGUCCCAUGGCAUCCCAACCCCAUCCUGACCCCCAUCCCAGACUCAUCCCAGUCCCGUCCCACUGCAUCCCGACCCCCAUCCCAGCUCCAUCCCAGUCCUGUCCCAUGGCAUCCCAACCCCAUCCUGACCCCCAUCCCAGACUCAUCCCAGUCCCGUCCCACUGCAUCCCGACCCCCAUCCCAAUCCCAUCCCAAUCCCAUCCCAGUCCCAUCCCACGGCAUCCUGAUCCCUAUCCCAGUCCCAUCCCAGACUCAUUCCAGGGCAUCUCUCACCCCAUCCUGACCCCUAUCCCAGUCCCAUCCCAGUCCUGUCCCACUGCAUCCCAACCCCCAUCCCAGUCCCGUCCCAGUCCCAUCCCACUGCAUCCCGACCCCCAUCCCAGUACCGUUCCAGUCCUGUCCCACUGCAUCCCAGCCCCCAUCCCAGCUCCAUCCUGGACCAAUCCCACUGCAUCCCAGUCCCAUCCCAGUCCUGUCCUACUGAAUCCCUCACCCCAUCCCAGCUCCAUCCCAGUCCCAUCCCACUGCAUCCCGACCCCCAUCCCAGUCCCAUCCCAGUCCUGUCCCACAGCAUCCCUCACCCCACCCUGGACCCAUCCCAUGGCAUCCCUCACCCCAUCCCGACCCCCAUCCCAGUCCCAUCCCAGUCCCAUCCCACUUCAUCCCAACUCCCUUCCCAGUCCCAUCCCAGACCCAUUCCAGUCCCGUCCCACUGCAUCCCUUACCCCAUCCUGA
rnacentral:lncRNA from 1 species